rnacentral:lncRNA from 1 species
UGAUAUGCUCUAAAUCAGAAUUCUCUAACACCCACAUAACACAGAUUUUAAAAUGGCCCACAAGAACCUAUUUCACCUUUUUAAUUAAGAAGCUUCCAAGAACUCCAAAAUGCUAAAGGAAAAGACAGCAUAGCUUGGAAUUUUGCAUUUUCAGCCGAAACAAUUGAACCAACAACCAAUAUCUCUUCAAAAAGUUGCAGAAGAAGAUUAAGUCAAUGGACAACUUCUCAAUAAAACGUGUCAACACCAAUGCAAAAGGGUCCCCAAAGAAACCAAUGGUGACAUAGAAUUCGAUACAAAUCUUAAAGGAAAAACUUUUGAGGGUCCCUUUCAGUAGAGAGGCUACAGAUGUUUGUCGUUCUCUUAUUGGUCCGUCUCACAUUAACAUCAGCUUUUUGGGGAUACCAUCUACAAUAAUGUUUGACAUCAUUGCAUGCCUCACCCACAUGACUGCCAACACUCACAAUCCUGAACAAAAAUUCAAUUAUAGGAAGGGGAAAAAAUGAUCUCUUUGAACCACCUACCUUACACAGCUUAAAAAACAGAUAUAAAAUGUUGCAAGAAAGCAAACUAAGUCUCUGAUGUGUCUAUGUUUUAUAUGAGAAGACAUGUGGAAUGCACAUGUGUACAUCUGGAUAGCCCAUAUUUAGAUAUGAUAAUGUUGAGUAGGGAACAAAAUCUAGGACGUGGCAUCUAACAAACCAGAGAUAUGCCUGUUUCAUUUGAUAACUGAAGCAAAAAAUGGAAAAGAAUAUCAGAAACCAUGACCUUAUAGGGAAUAAUAAACAAUAUUGCUAUCAAAGACGGACCCAAGAUUUCAGACAAGCGACCUCAAGGCUACCAUAAACGCCUAAUAUUCUUUAUGGUUUGCGUAGAAAACACACUGUAUAUUCUUAAUAACUUGAAGGCAAGACUGUCAUUUUAGUUUCCACCUAAGCAAAUUCUUUUAGGCUCAAACUACAUGGUUUUGAUGUCUGUCUUUUUGCUUUUGAUAAGCUAAAACCAAAACGACUGCUUUGACUCAACUCAAAAUGAAAAUUUUCAAUUCCAAGUGAUGUCAUUUUUAAUAAUUAUUGUAUUAAUCUUCACAAACUUCUCAGAAAAAAUUGUCUUAAUCUUUAGGAUAGCAGCUAGUCUCCCAAAACUUACUUUCCACCUUCUUUCUUUAAAACUUAUAUCUUGUUGCUAUUAAUGAUUAAAACUUUGGUAAGACUUUACAAGAUUCUACAAAUUGUUUUUCUAAACACAUAAACAAUUUAGCAAAUUGAACUAUUUAUAGACUUUGGGUAUGCAAAUGCAUACUUUCUGUUGAACUCCUAGACCUCGAUUUAAGUACCAAUCUGUCUCUAAAUUCCUAGAUGUCUAACGUCCUUAAAGGUAAAGACACAGGCAAAUAAAUCCAAACACUUACAAAUUUCACCAUUCAUUUAUUCCUCUCACUAGAAGAAAUCUACAAAGACAGCAGUAGGUAACAUCUCAAAACUCAAUAAUCAGAAACAGACACAAAAUCAAUCAACUUCUCCAAAAUCCCGUGUUAGCGUAUUUGAAUGAUAGCCUAUGAAACAAUUCCCAAAUCACUGGAUUCAACAAAAUCAUGAAGGCAUUCAAAAAUUGGCUAAAUAUACCAAAGAUAAUGACCAAAGGACUACUAAACUUUACUUAUUCCAUACUUCAAGCAGGAAGAUGCAGUAGCAGACUGUUGAGCUAAACAUGACACAAAAUUUGGACAUCUGUGUUUUCUUUUCUUUAUUUUUCCUUUUUUGAGGGGGGGGGGGGGGGGGGGUGAGGGGCGGCUGGGGACAUUAAAAUUGAGAAUGAAAAAGCCAAAGGUUCCAAUGUAUUCGAAUGCACGAUAUAAGCCCAACCCCUUUGCCAGCAUUUCGAAAUUUACCAGUGUUCAGUGGCCUUUGUACAGAGUAAAUUUUUUCCCAAAACGGAUUAGAUUAAACCUCCUUCGAUACAACAAGCAUCCGAUCUGAUAGCUAUACUAAAUGAUUUAAGCCAAACAUAUCAUCCCAGACAAGACAAUUAUGUUAGGUUUCAUUUUUUCAUCAGCAAACACAAGUUGUCAAUGCAGAAACAAAAGCAAAGACACUACAGCUACAGGGGAACAUGUCCGAAUGAACAAAAUAGAAACUUACGAAGCCUAUUCAAUAAAACAUUGCACCUAUACUACUAAACCCCUAUGGAAUAUGGUCAUGAAAACAAGUUCCAGUAGCACAACAUGUAUAUCUAAACUAUUUGUGAAGAAUAAGAAAAGACGUGUAUUGAUGACAAGAUAAUUUGAUGAAUAAACAUAUUUAUAGGUCUCAAACAAAAUACAAUUCGUUCAAUAUAGGACGUCGCUAAAUUAGAACUUAACACUUAUGAACAUUUUCAACAUGCCUCCAACAAAACCAAAGCCAAGCUUCAGGUGCUGAGGCAACCGACAGAGCAGAAUUGGCGCCUCACCAGACUUCAGUUGAGGUGCUGCAUAAAAGCGAUUAACAAGCGCACACCUGGGUUAAGGCACAAGGCCUUUAGCAUGCGCAUCUUUCAAGCCAAAAAAGGGGGGUUGGAGGGGGAGGGGUAUUAGGAUCCAGGAAAGAAAAAGGAAAUCUUCUGAAGGAGCAAAAGAGACAUACUCAAUGAGAACUGAGAAGACAAUAGAGAACAAACAACUUGAGAAGAUCAUCAACGAUCUCAGUCUGAAGAAGUGCAGGAAAGAGAGAUCUUCACAGAAUUCUUCUUUCUUCUAAUUCCUUUCUUUAUUUUUUUCUUUUGGCAAACAUUAGACUGCCUGCAUUUUUUUUUCCCCUCAUAUUUCUUUUCUUUUCUCUUUUGGGGAAAAUAGAGAAUCACGUUCUGCUGCUAAGCCUCCAUUUCUUGUUUUCUUCUUCUCCUAGUGCGCUUCUUCUUUCUAUGGCCUGUGGAAGCCUCUGUCAUUUUUUUUCUUUUCGGGAAAGAGAUAACUGCUCUAUUUAUAGUUAAGAGACAUAAAGUGAUUUGUCUUUUGAUGAUAAUCAGAAAACUCAAAGAACUUAAUUAAUAUACACCAAGAUGGUGUUAGGCUUAUUAUAAAAACAUUGAAUAGAAGGAUGCAUAAGCUCCCCAAGAACCAAGCUAAUCGUCUAUACAGUAAGGAACUUCCUGUUUAGACCAAAAGAACACUAGGAAAAACAUAGGAUUGUAAUUUAACAAUGAACGUCCAGUUUCCUCAAACGUUAUCAUACUCCUCUCUCUCUGUAUUUCUAGAAAUUUAUUGCAUGGAGCGGUUCUCCAUAACUUUCUCCUAUCACAUUUAGCUUAUCCAAUCUCCAACUCACCGGUGCUUUUUUCUCGAGAAAGAACCAAUGGAUGUUGAAAAUGAAGAACAUCAUGGCUCAUAGUUUCGUUGCAAACUUACAAUAGGUGAUCCACGCGUUCAUCAUGAUUUUUACACGUGAACACCAAUUGACCACUAUGCAUCUCCUUCUUCUUGAGUUGUUAAAAUUGGCUUUGAACUCAAGUAAGGUCGUUGAGUUGUUAAAAUUGCUCCCGACAUUGCAUACCAUGUAAAAAAGUACCUCUUAGGUACCUCCAUGUUCCAUGUUGUUGACCAAAUGGACAUUGUACACCUUCAUCAAGUAAGAGGUUAUAGAUGUCGUUACUUAAAAACAUUUUCAUUAGGAGCUAAAUUUGGAUUAGUAUAUAAAAGAUUGGACUAGAACAAGAAACUAAAACAAGGAUUAGGUUAGAGUGGUAUGAGGAUUUGAACUAGUACUAGGAGUAAGCAGAGAAGUAGGAUUCCAAUUUUAUCCACCACCUUAGACCUAGUCCUACUUCUGAUCUAACUCCUAAUUCAAGUCCUUGUGGUCUAAAUCCUAAACCUAAUCUAGGAGCAAGUAAAGAAUUAGGAUCCCAAUUUAACCCAAACCAUAGCCGUAGUCCUUAUUCUAAUCUAAGUCCUUGUAGUAACACUGGUCUAAAUCCUAAACCUAAUAUUUGCUCCUAAUUCUAGCACCCAGUUCUACUUCUAAUUCUGAUCCUACUACUAUCAUGGGAAACUUACUCUAUUCAUCAGCUUCAGCUUUAGAAAAGCAGCUAUUUGGUCUGAAAAGAGCUCCAAACAAACUUGGUUCCAAAAGACAGCAUGACCCACAAAUAAUUACAGGACCAAAGCCGAUAAAAUCAGCACAUUAGAUACCAUGUGUGACUAAAGAUAAAAAAGCCAAAUUUUUUGAAGGUGGAAUUUCUCUCAUUCAUUAUGUUAUAACAUAGCCAUAGUUUCAUUUGGAGGCAGAAGCCAAUAUGGUAACCAACUACCCAUAUGGCAUUGUUUCAUGGAAUGUGAUUCGCUCAAGAAUGAAUUGAAUCUUCAAAUAAUGGAGUUUAGGCCUAUCUUAACCCCAAAAGCUAACUCAUGAAAAGGAGACAAAAGUCCUUUCUCUCAACCAAUGUGGAAAAUUCGGACACUGCCCCGGCCACUCCUUGCCUUCUUCUUAGGUGCUAUGUACUGAAAAUUAGAACAACGCAUGAGUUAAAAAGGGGCAGUCUUAUAAUCAAGCUCUAUCGCACGAUCUAGAAUAACAAAGAAGGGUGACAUUCCUAAAUGCCCAAGUCCGCCUAUGCCCCAGGCCUGAACAUUGUGGAUAACAUAACAUGGGGGUCCAACAUUGAGAAACACAACAACAAAGAUGAGUUUGGCUCUAAUACCAUGUAAAGAAAAUGGACCUUGGGCCUAACUCAAUCUCAAAAGCUAGCUCAGGAGAUGAGAAUUGUCCAAAACCAAACAAGGAGAGAACAAUGUACUCCUUCAACGAAUAUCUAACAGAAACAAGAAAAGCACAUCUAUUUAAUGGCUUGUUAAUAUGAAUCGUAAUAGCGAUUACAACGAAAGUGUGAUGCGCCUCAUGUAUUAACAAAUAUUGACUAGAGCCAUUUCAAACCUUAAUUUCAUAUCAUGUAUAUGAAAGGAAGAAAGAAAAAAUAUAUAUCUUUGUUGCUUUAGGAACAAGCUCCGAGUGAGGUGACAUACUAAAUGUUAAGAUAUUUGAAAGAAUAAAAUUUGGUUGGAUGUUUGAUAUAUAAUCAAGUUACAGUAUAUCAAAUAUACUCAAAGGGAAAGUGUAGCAUAUUCUCUUUAAAAGAUAUUUGAAAGAGAAGAAAGACCAAAGAACAUGAAGACACAUACCUCAUGCAUGCUAAAAAGAUCUAAGAAUGUAUAUCAAUAAUAUAGAUAAAUGAGAAAGUGAGGAUGAAGAAGCAAAAGUCUACUUCUAUCCUAUGAGGCGGGGCCAAGGGCACAAUUGUUUAAGGAACAAAAUAAAGCCGUAACAGAUAUAAGAAUGUCAUAAUUAUGAGACUGAGGUGGGGUAGUCAUUGUGAAGCGGUAUGCGUGAUUUAAAAAAUGAUGCAAAACAAAAGUAAAAUGCACCUAUGCCUAACACCAAAAGAUUCUUUAGCAUCAAGAGGGGGAUUUUUUCAUUAACUUAUUCUCCACCCCACCACUCCAAUCUUCCAUUAAUGAAAUGCGGUAAUUCAAACAACCCAACCUCUCCAAUCUUCUAUCCUGUGAACCAUCACGUGGAAUGGUACCAUUACCUCAAUCCUUGAAUGUCCAGAAUGCAGCAGUUCCGAACUCCCAUCAGGGCUAACCACCUCCUAAUAACACAGAAAUAGUUAGCACUGUCACACCUACUCUGCAACUUCAUAAUACUACUGGUAAAGAAGUUCUCAGCUAUAAACCCCUAGAGACAAAAUUCUCAACCCCGUGGAAUAGGCAAUAAAAUACUUUGAGAUUCAUCAAGUACCUAAUACUAUGAAGAUAAGCUAUAUCUGGAUAGAUAUAAAAGGGGGAUCCACUGAUAGUUUGACAGUUCUAUGAUAGAUCAUGGUGGGUAAUUUGUACGAAGACAUCAUUUGUGAUGUUUAUAGAAGGUCUGGAAACACUAGAUCUCCGGUAGAGAUUGACAAAUUCAGUGAGCUCAGUAGGCCAAUGACGUGGAAGCUUAUCUAUAGAAGUUUGAAGAACUGAGGUCUUACACGCUCAUUAAAAAGCCCUUCAUUCAUGUGAAUCCAAUUCCUAUUUCAAUUAGACACUAAUGCCUAGGAUAUUUAACUCAAUAGUACCUAUCAAAAAGAUAAGGAUAUCUAACCCAACAAUUCUAACAGAUCGUAAGAAGGAGCAAAGUAGCACAAGAAUCUAUCAAUGGGAUUAGCAAACUUCUACUCCAUAGUCCAGUUACCCUCCUAUAACAAAUCUGAACACCAAGCACCUAACACAACGCUUCCUCAGCCAUACUUCCAUACUAUCGAGUCUUCCACCUACAAACCUUUUCAACUUUCCGUAACCUAAAAUAGAAUCGACCAAGAGAAUAGAAGUUAGAAGUACUUUAUCGAUGCAAGCCAAAACCCCUCAAUGCUAAUGAAGGAGGGGAUAGCAGAAAAUAUUGGGGAGGUUGAUGCAGAGGCAAUUCAAGAGAGCGUGACACUAAAUGGUGUCCAUGGGUGUCAAAUUCCCCCGUGACCCUCCAAAUUGUUCGAACCACUAAGAGGUGGGCAUAAUUUGUCUAAAGCAGCUCAAAUUCAGGGUUAUUCUUGGCAAUAUAGCCAUGCAAGUUACUACGGGCAAUGAUCACAUUCACAGGACCUUAUGGUCAAAAAUUCAGUAUAUAUGUGUCAAUAACAGCUUUCUAAAAAACAAUACGCACUUGUACAACAAGCUGACCCACUUGAAAAUAAUGCAAACUAUACAUCAACUUGGGAGAAGACGUAAAGCUUUAGAACUCACACAGCCCUAGACCCAAAUCUAAACAGACCUGAUACUGCACAUGACUUAUACCAUCAGCUACAACCGAACUUGUUGAGAUAUGCAAGGUGAAUCUUUCAUUUUCAAUUUCAGAAUGCAAAAGGUUAACCUCAAGUUAGAAAUGGAUUGAUUGACCUCUAUUCCCGGUUAUGUUAGACUUGUGACGUAACCAAGUGUCAUUCUGGGGAUGAUAAGGGAGAAUCAAGGGGUACUAGGUGGGCUCACAGAAGGAAAUGGCUGCUUAAACUUUUUCAGCAAUGUGUUAUUCAAGUGUUCUCCACUGCAACAGCCAACAAGUAUAUAAGCACUAUGCACUGACAGAGUAAAAAAUAUUUACACAAUGAGGUCACUUAAUAGGCAACCGCAGAUAGCUCUCUACACAAACAUAAAUUAGUGUAAGAUAUGUUUACAUUGUCAGUGCACAUAACUUAAGCUCUUGCAACAAAGCUGAACAAAUAGAGAAAUUGAUCGUAAAAUUAGUCAGGAAUUUUAUCCAUUUACACUUGAUCCAUAGAGUCUGUUUGAUUUCUAAUUUGUUAGAGUCAGUUAAAACUUAAAAGGAAUUUCUAGCUGGAGCAUGUCAGCUCUCGGCUCCAUAAAUUGAGGUUACAAUCACACGAACUCCCAUUUUAUAAUUGUUCCCUUAUUUCGUUUAGUGGCAAUCAGUAAUCACAACAAUCACGUAUCCAUAUUGUUUCAUAAAUUCAUCCAUAAACAUUAAAUUAAUGAGAUAAAAUAGAAUUUACCAUUGGUUGGUUCGGUUUCUGCUGAUUGAGGAAAUUACAACUGAGGAACAACGACAUCAGUUAUCAACAGUCUACCCCGUGUAAACACCUUAAACUGUAUCAUUUGCUUCUUAGACUGCUGUAAUUUGAAGGGAUGGGCGGCUGUAAUUCAACAAAUCCCCGCGAUUUCAACUUUUUUUGGCUUUUUCUCAUUUUUCUUCGUUAAUGGCAUGAGGCCCAUUGCCCAAUUGUUGGGCGAUUCUGUUUUCCAUUUUCCUUCUUCCUUUUUUCUUUUUAGCCGCCAACCCCCUCGUUUGGUUUUAGGUAUCAAAACUCACUCCAAUGUCUGAACCAUAGAAAUAUGACUAUGAACGAGGGGUGC